AUCAUUUGCGCAGAGGAUGUUAUCUGCAAGCUUACAGGUUAGGAUAUGUUUAUAAUGCUUGCUUUUUUUCGCUUCCAGCCUGCCUUUGCACAACAAGAGAGACGUCAGGUAUUUGUGCACCCAGUUGCUCAGCAAGAAGCCUUUCUUCUGGAAAACCGAAAAGUAUUUGCUCGUAAAUCUUUACUAUUGGUGGCUUUUUGGUUCUGGCACUUUGUAUUUGUGGCACAUGUUACUUUUCAUCAGAAAGCCAGAAAAUUACACAACAUGUCUCUUUGAGCACCUUGCUGGAUUAUAUCCUUUUCAUUUCAGAUGAGGUUAUCAGAAGUUGUAUUUCUAUUUUCAAUCUUCUCUGCACCUGCUACUAAAGCAUUUCUGAAUUCGUGGACAGUGCAAUGUAGCCUGAGUCGAUCGGAUAUUAAGAUUCUAUAAGAUGAAUACAAACCUUUCUUGUCAGAUGAGGCAGCGUAUAUACAUUCACUGCAGGGUCAGGCGGAGUAUCUGUAGUGACGUUGAUUUGUGCUUAACCACCUCCGCAUGCUUGCUGCAGGGAAUUUCUUAUAUUGCUAGAUGCCAUUGUGGAGUGUUGGUCUAGCUUCUAUAUACGAUGCUCUUUUUGAUGAGAUAUCUUAUGUUGAACCAUUUUUGUUGUGUGUAUGUUAGAACUGUCACAAGGAAAAACUUUGGGAAUUGGCUCGGGGGAGAAGCAAGUCCUGCUUCCUUGCUUCAGUUGUAUGUUCUGACUAUGGAAGUCUAACAGAGGCCGCUAUUGGAGUACAUGACAUCAUCGGUGAGUUAAUGUCAGCUGUAGAGACUCAUUGUUGGAUUAUAAGCAUCUUUGCAAUAGGUCACCUUUUUUUGCUCCAUAUUAAUUAGAAUGGAAUCAUUCGUUUUAUCAGUGAGUUACGUUGGGAUCUAUAAAGAGAUUCAUGUUGGAUUUUAAGCUUCUUCAUAUAGAGGUUAAAACAGCAACCAGCAGAGGAAUUGAAGAGGAGAAAGGUGCUAAUAUGUGUGAAUAUAUCAGUAGGUCGGUCUUUACAAGUUAUCUUUGUAAUUUUCCAGAGACUUGUUCCUUGAUGUGCUGUUUACAGUACUGGGUCAACUUUCAUCCUCCCUUGCUUUGAAACGUUCCUAUUAUAAUAAAGAUGGCACCAAACUAGAGGAGCAAAAGUGAAACUGGUCAAGAAGGACAGUCUUCUUGAUUCUCAACUUGUCAACAAAUCUUCUGAUGAUAGAGCAAAAGAUGUGGGUUUGUUUUUGAGGAAUGAAUCUACCACGUCAUCUUGUUUUGAUCAAUCCUCUGUUUCAUCAUCAUCUGAGGACAGAGAUGAUCAGACCUCGUUGGCCAGGAAUGACUCCUGUAGUUGCACUAGUACUAUAUGCUAUUUAGUCCCCAGAUGUAAGUGUUCUUUGAAAUUUUUACGGAAUCUACUAUGUCAUCUUGCAAAGUUGUAAAUGUUGUUAAGGCAUUAUAUUGCAAAGACGAGGUCAUCUGGUAGGGUAAAUAUUUCAUAGUCUUUUUGUAA